CCUACGGGAGGCAGCAGUGAGGAAUAUUGGUCAAUGGGCGCGAGCCUGAACCAGCCAAGUAGCGUGAAGGAUGACUGCCCUACGGAUUGUAAACUUCUUUUAUAAGGGCAUAAAGUGAGGCACGUGUGCCUUUUUGUAUGUACUUUAUGAAUAAGGAUCGGCUAACUCCGUGCCAGCAGCCGCGGUAAUACGGAGGAUCCGAGCGUUAUCCGGAUUUGUUGGGUUUAAAGGGAGCGUAGAUGGGUUGUUAAGUCAGUUGUGAAAGUUUGCGGCUUAACCGUAAAAUUGCAAUGGAUACUGGCAGCCUUGAGUAUAGUUGAGGUAGGCGGAAUUCGUGGUGUAGCGGUGAAAUGCGUAGAGAUCAAGAAGAACUCCGAUUGCGAAGGCAGCUUACUAAACUGCCACUGACAUUGAUGCUCGAAAGUGUGGGUAGCAAACAGGAUUAGAUACCCUAGUAGUC
rnacentral:rRNA from 1 species